AGCGGUGGGCGGGGCAAGGGGCCCAUCUCACACGGCGACGAGCGGUUGGAACCUACCCUCUCCUUCCCCUUCCCCUUCCCCUUCCCCUCCCGGGAUAGGCUGGGACCCGGCACCGGAGCUAUCCCGUGGCCGCUGCGGCCUCAGCUCCAGUCGGGCCGGGGUACGGAGAGUCCAGACCGCUUCCAGGGCGAGUGCUCCUGAUUGUGACAUCAAAUCCAUCCCCUUGGCGAUGGAGCUUGUCACUAGGAAGGAAGACUCAGUCGGACAGUAGCCAACAAGAUGGGUUACUGGGAGCAUCUCCUGAGUGGCACUGAGUGGAGGCCUCAGGGGGUUGGAGCCUUGUGAACAGGGAACCUACCCCCCAACACUUGGAAGGACCUGGGUUUCAGUGAUGAGACAUGGGGUAUGAUGUAACCCGUUUCCAGGGGGAUGUUGACGAAGACCUUAUCUGUCCUAUUUGCAGUGGAGUCUUGGAGGAGCCAGUCCAGGCACCUCACUGUGAGCAUGCUUUCUGCAAUGCCUGCAUCACCCAGUGGUUCUCUCAGCAGCAGACGUGUCCAGUGGACCGUAGCGUGGUGACGGUCGCCCACCUGCGCCCAGUACCUCGGAUCAUGCGGAACAUGUUGUCAAAGCUGCAGAUUGCCUGCGACAACGCUGUGUUUGGCUGUAGUGCUGUUGUCCGGCUUGACAACCUCAUGUCUCACCUCAGCGACUGUGAGCACAACCCAAAACGGCCUGUGACCUGUGAACAGGGCUGCGGCCUGGAGAUGCCCAAAGAUGAGCUGCCAAACCACAACUGCAUUAAGCACCUGCGCUCGGUGGUGCAGCAGCAGCAGACGCGCAUCGCAGAGCUGGAGAAGAGCUCGGCCGAGCACAAGCACCAGCUGGCGGAGCAGAAGCGAGAUAUCCAGCUGCUAAAGGCAUACAUGCGUGCAAUCCGCAGUGUCAACCCCAACCUUCAGAACCUGGAGGAGACAAUUGAAUACAAUGAGAUCCUAGAGUGGGUGAACUCCCUGCAGCCCGCAAGAGUGACCCGCUGGGGAGGGAUGAUCUCGACCCCAGAUGCCGUACUCCAGGCUGUAAUCAAGCGCUCCCUGGUGGAGAGUGGCUGUCCGGCCUCUAUUGUCAACGAGCUGAUUGAAAAUGCCCACGAGCGGAGCUGGCCCCAGGGUCUGGCCACCCUGGAGACAAGACAGAUGAACCGGCGCUACUACGAGAACUACGUGGCCAAGCGCAUCCCCGGCAAGCAGGCCGUCGUCGUGAUGGCCUGCGAGAACCAGCACAUGGGCGAUGACAUGGUGCAGGAGCCGGGGCUUGUCAUGAUCUUCGCGCAUGGCGUGGAAGAGAUAUAGGAGUCUCGACGGGCUCGCGGGAAGGGACGGCGAGCAGAAAACCCAUCACUCCAGCAGCUGGCCCCUGAGUCCUCCGUCCUCUCCACAGUACCGUGGCCUACACGUGGGCUGCACGUUUCCCUCCUCUUCUGGCCCUGAAGGGCCCAGGGCACUUUGCUCAGCCUUUCAGGAAAGGCCAAGGGAGUCCUCGGCUGAACCUAUGUCCGCCCCAACCCUCCAUUACCCCACCUGAGAUGAGGUGCUUCCUCUGUUCCAGUGAUGGAUGCGACAGUCCAGCAUUGAUGCCUGUGCCCUCUGGAGAACUUUGCUCCCAGUCCUUCCACGGGUCUCCUUGUAAAACUCUGUAUUUAUAGAGUAUUAAUUUUGAAGACAUUUCCACCUCCCAAUCCCCAGUUUCCUUGGAGAUCCAGAAUUGGAUUCUAAGCUUCACCAGACCAGGGGGGGAGAGACAUGAUGUCUCUGUGUCUCUGAGUACAGGCUGUGCUCUGGUCUCACCCAUGUGCUCUGAGGACUUCAGCUCCAUUUUCGGCUACCCAGCAUUCCUUGAUCCCUGGGGUGGCUGGUAGAGUAAGAGAAGCGGCAGGAUAGAGGGUGUGAUUAUUUUAAUAGGCAGGUGGGAGUGGGGUGGAAGAGAUCUGGCCAUAUAACAGCUUCUCUCUUUGGAGUUUUAACCAGGCCAGCUUGUUGUAGGUCUGGGGAGUUGGGUCAGGGCUCCACUGGGAAUGGGGAGGAGGGAUACAGCUUGAAGGGAGUAGGGAACAGUCCUGUGUUCCAGCUCCAGGACACUGUGCUCAGGAAUUUGAAAACGCUGCUAUACUUAGUCUGGUUACUACAUUUCUUCCACUCCCCUUUGCCCCUGCCUGCCUUACCAAGGCCCAUACCCUCCUGUCAUCACCCGCCGACGGAGCCAGGAAGCUCAGUCAGGGCUUCCCUCCCCUUUGUACUAGUGUCUCUGCGGGUUGCUGGUUGUGUUAUAUGUGCUGGUCCAUGGUGUUAACUGCACUAAUAAUAAACCUUUUACUCAACUCUCA